UACGAAGGGUCCAAGCGUUAUCCGGAUUUAUUGGGUUUAAAGGGUGCGUAGGCGGCUUAUUAAGUCAGUGGUGAAAGCCUGUAGCUCAACUACAGAACUGCCAUUGAUACUGAUGAGCUUGAAUAUACUUGAGGUUGGCGGAAUGUGUCAUGUAGCGGUGAAAUGCUUAGAUAUGACGCAGAACACCGAUUGCGAAGGCAGCUAGCUAAAGUACAAUUGACGCUGAUGCACGAAAGCGUGGGGAGCAAAAGGG
rnacentral:rRNA from 1 species